rnacentral:rRNA from 1 species
UACAGAGGUUUCAAGCGUUGUUCGGAUUCAUUGGGCGUAAAGGGUGCGUAGGUGGCGCGCUAAGUCAGGUGUGAAAUCUCGGGGCUUAACUCCGAAACUGCAUUUGAUACUGGCGUGCUUGAGGACUGGAGAGGAGACUGGAAUUCAUGGUGUAGCAGUGAAAUGCGUAGAGAUCAUGAGGAAGACCAGUGGCGAAGGCGGGUCUCUGGACAGUUCCUGACGCUGAGGCACGAAGGUCAGGGGAGCAAACGGG